GGUGAGUAAUGCCUAGGAAAUUGCCCUGAUGUGGGGGAUAACCAUUGGAAACGAUGGCUAAUACCGCAUAAUGCCUACGGGCCAAAGAGGGGGACCUUCGGGCCUCUCGCGUCAGGAUAUGCCUAGGUGGGAUUAGCUAGUUGGUGAGGUAAUGGCUCACCAAGGCGACGAUCCCUAGCUGGUCUGAGAGGAUGAUCAGCCACACUGGAACUGAGACACGGUCCAGACUCCUACGGGAGGCAGCAGUGGGGAAUAUUGCACAAUGGGCGCAAGCCUGAUGCAGCCAUGCCGCGUGUGUGAAGAAGGCCUUCGGGUUGUAAAGCACUUUCAGUCGUGAGGAAGGUAGUGUAGUUAAUAGCUGCAUUAUUUGACGUUAGCGACAGAAGAAGCACCGGCUAACUCCGUGCCAGCAGCCGCGGUAAUACGGAGGGUGCGAGCGUUAAUCGGAAUUACUGGGCGUAAAGCGCAUGCAGGUGGUUUGUUAAGUCAGAUGUGAAAGCCCGGGGCUCAACCUCGGAAUUGCAUUUGAAACUGGCAGACUAGAGUACUGUAGAGGGGGG
rnacentral:rRNA from 1 species